GACGAACGCUGGCGGCGUGCUUAACACAUGCAAGUCGAACGGGAAGGCCCUGCUUUUGGGGGGUGCUCGAGUGGCGAAAGGGUGAGUAACACGUGAGUAACCUGCCCUUGACUUUGGGAUAACUUCAUGAAACGGGGGCUAAUACCGGAUAGGAGCGCCUGCUGCAUGGUGGGGGGUGGAGAGUUUCUGCGGUUGGGGAUGGACUGGCGGCGUAUGAGCUUGUGGGUGGGGUAGUGGCUUACCAGGGGUUUGACGGGUAGCCGGGCGGCGCGGGGGACCGGCCACGUUGGGAACGAGAUACGGCCCAGACUGCUGCGGGAGGUAGACGUGGGGAAGAAUCCACAAUGGGCGGAGGCCUGAUGCAGCAGCGCCGCGUCGGGGAGGACGGCCUUCGCGUUGUAGGCCGCUUUCGCCUGUGACGAAGCGGGAGUGACGGUAGUGGGUAAAGAAGCACCGGCUAACUACGUG
rnacentral:rRNA from 1 species